GCACCUGCUCGGUGCUUGGGGCUCCCCAUCCCUCAGACACGCAGCAAGGGGAAAGGUGCUGUAUUAUUUAAAGGAAGGCCUCAAGAAAGCACUGGUGCUUCUGCAGUGAGCUCAGUCAGAAGCAGCGUGGGCUCCAUUUCCUUCAAACAGCUUCUCCUCCUGGGCUGCAUACUCCAGCCACUGUUACUAGACCGGCAGCAGUUUGCAUGCAGCACCUGCUGAGAUGACCCAAUGACUCUUGGACAAGGAACCUGGGAGAAGAUGGUUGUGAAGACGGCAGCCAAGAAGCAGCCAGACUGGAGAAGGUCUAGCACUGUCUAUAGAACCACUGGAUGUCAGAGUGCAGUUGGACUCUUCAUUGACAGAGAGGGGGUGAGACAUCAAGCAUCAUGGAGAUAUUUGUCAAGGAACACAUGUCAUUAAAAGCUUAUCCUGCAGAUGUUCCUAAUGCCUCUUCUUACUUGGCAUCUAGAAGAAGAUUCCUCAAGGAUAUAAAUUAUUAACCAUAUAAUGACAUGGACACUUAAAAGGAUAUUCCCAUCUGGAGCAUCAUGAGUUGUAGAAGAAGAUGCAAGUCCAGAUGUUUAUUCAUUAGGCACACCAUUAGAAAAAGCACAGUGCUCAAAUAGGCAGGCUGCUUUAUGCAGCAUCAUGAAUUAUUAGUCUGAGUUAUACAGACUUACAGUCAACUUCCCUGUCUCCUGCCAGCAAGCUUUCCAGUCUCACAUACCAACACAGUUCAUGUGCAGGGUAGAUUUAUUGAAUUUCUCUCAGCUAGAGACUACCCAGCCUCAUUCGUUUUAGUCUUAGGUUUUCUUGGGUGGUAAAGGUGCAGAUUUCUACAUUUUUGAAGUAUGCUUAAGCAAUUUCCAGAAAAUAGAUGCAGAUCAGUACGUGCUCCAGUGUUACCUAAAUGGUCCUUAAGAAAUAGACAGCAGAUGUUUUAAGGCAG